AUGGCACUCACGGCGUUCGAGACCGCGGAGCAGCGCCUGCCGUGCCACGCCGAGCAGGCCGACGCCGGCGGCAAGGUGGCCGCUGCUGCUGCCGCCGAGCAGGCCGUGCCGCUGCAGGAGGCGGACCACGGCGGCCGUCUCGAGAGGGACGACAUAUGGAACAUGAUCCAGUCGCAGAAGCCCGCGGCCCCGGCGUUGACGCCGAAGCAGGCGCCGUACGUGCCGGCCCCCGUGCGCCGCUCCUCCAGCCUGCUCACCCAGAAGAGCCUGGAGAUCUGCACCGAGAGCCUCGGCUCCGAGACUGGCUCCGACGGCUUCUCCGACGCCACCGACCGCUCCUGCCCGGGCUCCGACGACGACGGCGAGGGCGGCGCCAACGGGGUGGCCGCGCGCGCCAUUCCGCCCCGCGCGUUCCCGCCGCCGCUGCCGUCGCUGGCGCGCCGCACCGUGGGGUCGCUGCAGAUGAGGCAGCACCGCCGCGACGGCCGCCUCGUCGUCGAGGCCGUCCCCGUGCUGUCCAACACCCUGUUCCGCUCGCAGCGCCGUGGCGGGCGCCUGCUCCUCUCCUUCGCCGACACCGCCGCCCCCGCCGAGGACGAGGGGAAGAACCACGCCCAGGAAGCCGAUCAGCAGCAGGCCGACGAGCAGACCCACGAGGAGGAGGAGGACGAUGACGGCGAGGAGGAGGUCCAGGUCGUGGACAGAGGCACCGUCGUCGAGGUCAAGGUCAGCACGCAGCCCCAGGCGCACAACAGUGGGGCGCGGGUGCACCGCUCCUCGCUCGUCAUCAACAAGUUCGUCGGCGCCGAGCCCGUCAACGCCUCCGAGAUCAAUGACACCGCCGCUGCACCGCAGCAGCCACCCAAGCCUCCGAGCAGUUCGGAGGCCGGAGCUCCGGCUGUAAGCGCGACUGCGACACUGCCUGACCCGGAAGAUGACGGCACUGCUGCCACGCCCUGCGAGGGCAAGGUGCUGAUGACGAUGAGGAGGCGGCGGAGCAAGCAGGAGCUGCUCAACCACAUGCGCCGGUGCGGCCAGCUGAGCGGGCAGCUCUUCAUAUGGGAGCCGCGCGUCGCCACCUCCUCCUGA
rnacentral:rRNA from 1 species